rnacentral:tmRNA from 2 species
GGGGCCGACCUGGUUUCGACGUGGGCAUUAAGCAGAACCGUGCAUACCGAGGGGUGGUCACCUCGUAAAUACAACCGCAAACAAAUAGUCGCAAACGACGAAAACUACGCACUAGCCGCUUAAUAACCGGCCGCGCUCUGCACUAGUGGGCCUCAACGCUAGGUAUCGCAAGGUACAGCAGAGUCAUUAACGAGGAUCGCUUUCUGCCGGGCUACUUGGCAGGGAGUUAAAUUAAGGUGGCUAGCGUCGCGUCAGCCCGGCCAUUGGCGUACGUGGGGCGAAAUCAAAUAAUGGAAUCUAAGUAUGUAGAUCGGCCUGUAGAGGGCUUGCGGACGCGGGUUCGAUUCCCGCCGGUUCCACCA